UUGUUCAUUCUUCUUAUAAUUUGCGUUCAUUCUUUACGGCUCAUUAAUUUGGUGUUCACUCUUUGCGAUCAUUGUUAUUACGGUUCAUUUAUAUUUUGUUCAUUGUUACUACGUUCGUUAUUGCGCUCAUCAUUGCGUUUAGAAAUUUUGUAUAAUAUUUUGCGUUUCGGGGUCUUUAGUUUUUCGGUCAAGAAAAGAGAGCCGCGACUAAGUAAAAAGAAAAUUUUAUCUUUGAAGUCCUCAUUUCAUCGCUUAGACAAAAACGCGCAUUGUAAUUGCGGUAUUAAUCCAGUUAGUAAAUUGUUCAGUCUGUAUUAAAAUAGAUAAAUAAAGUAAGAGUUGAUAGUAAACUAUAUUCGAGUUCAAAUAAUAAACCCAACAAAAACUUCGACGACCACCGGAGCAGCUGAGGUAAUGGCACCAGACAGCACCUACUCCUCAAGGUAAGAAAAUUAAUUUUGAAAAUUUCCUUCUUCUCUGAUAAUCUCGUUGCCCACGAGAAUCGAAUUAGAAUUUCCUAUCAUCGAUCUCGUUUUAUUUUCGUGAACGGUUUUGAAGAUAGAAUCAUUGUUUAAACUUUAAACAAAGGAGUUGUUCGCUGUGUCGGCUUGUGCGAACGGUGUUUUCAGCUACUGAAACAUCCACUGAUCUUCGCAUUCCUCCUCCCAUUGUUGGUAAAAUAUUACCCGUCUUUGGGCAAGGCUUGCGAAAUCACACAAGUGCCGCACAGAAAGGACUAUUAAAUACAUCGUCGGGGUCAAUCGAAAAUUAAGAACAAUACCGGCAUUGCUAUUAACCGAUAUUCUUGCCAUCAUUGCAUGCGAUUGUAAGAGAGAAAUAACAGAACAAUUUCCCUUCGAAAAUUUAAUCAAAGGAUCGUUCGCUGCGUUGGCUUGUGCAAACGGUGUUUUCGAUUAUCGAAAACACCCAUCGAUCUUCGCAUUCCUCCUCCCACUGUUGGUAAAAUAUUACCCGUCUUUGGGCAAGGCUUGCGAAAUCACACGAGUCCCACACAGAGAGGAUCGUUAGAAUCAUCCUCGAUUAUUAAACCCAAACGGCAAGAAAAUCGUGGUAACAGAAUCCAUCGUAGUAAAUGAAUUGAGUUUCGGUUCUAACGGCAAACUACUACAGCGAAAUUAAAAGAGAAGAAGAAGUCAAACGUAAAAAUAAAUUUAUAUAAUACAACGAAAAUCUCACAUUCCUAUCCAAUCCAGCAUCGCUAAAAUAUAUAUAUCCAGCUAAUAAAAUAUAUAUAUAUAAUAACCUAAGCAAUUCUACGUCCAAAUAAAAAUCCGUUCAACGAGGAAAAAUAUUUAUUGUACCCAGCUUUAAUCCUCUGCCGUGCCAGUAUCCCUGCGCAUAGCAGGUUAGCCGAAAAUGAAAUUCGUUUACCAGUUGCAUUAAGCGUCAGUUAACGAUACCCAUUAAACGCAAAAGAAAAUAAUAAAAAAUAAAAUAUUUUGAAAUAGUCUUUGGACUAUUUCUGGUGGCAGCAACUACCGUAUUAAUUAAUAACCUAAAUCGGAAUUAAAUACACAAUAAUAUCAUUUUAAUUUAUUUCCUUUCCGAUUAAAUUCAAAACUCAAACUCAA